GACGAACGCUGGCGGCGUGCUUAACACAUGCAAGUCGAACGGAAAGGCCCUGCUUUUGUGGGGUGCUCGAGUGGCGAACGGGUGAGUAACAAGUGAGUAACCUGCCCUUGACUUUGGGAUAACUUCAGGAAACUGGGGCUAAUACCGGAUAGGAGCUCCUGCUGCAUGGUGGGGGUUGGAAAGUUUCGGCGGUUGGGGAAGGACUCGGGGCUUAUCAGCUUGUUGGUGGGGUAGUGGCUUACCAAGGCUUUGACGGGUAGCCGGCAUGAGAGGGUGACCGGCCACAUUGGGACUGAGAUACGGCCCAGACUCCUACGGGAGGCAGCAGUGGGGAAUAUUGCACAAUGGGCGGAAGCCUGAUGCAGCAACGCCGCGUGCGGGAGGACGGCCUUCGGGUUGUAAACCGCUUUCGCCUGUGACGAAGCGUGAGUGACGGUAAUGGGUAAAGAAGCACCGGCUAACUACGUG
rnacentral:rRNA from 1 species